AUGAGUUUUACAUUCAUUAUUGAGUUAUUAUUGAAUGAGACUGUAAAUGAUAAAUGUAAUGUUUUAACUCUAGAUGUUUUUUUGUAUAAAUGCUGUGUUUGCGGUAAGUUCUGCGCGAGCGGGGAGCAGAGUUGCCAUGGAAACGGGGCAUCAACACAAAAACCGUUACUGGCAAGCAGUAAUCUCCGUCUCUCGCUGCGGUUUACACUGUUUUAGGAGGACAGAAAGAAACUCUACAGAACAAAGUGAAACUCAAAGAUUUCAACAUUUCUUAAGGGAGAUACUGACUUAGAAAUACAGGUGAACUGAAGAAGCUCAUGAAAUACAUUAAUAUGCCUUUUUCAGAAUAUAUUUCACCAAUUUUAAGAAGUCCCUGACAUCAAAACACUAAAUAUUGUUGUGUCUGUGUCAGAUUGCUUGUUUUGUUCCUGGACUCUUCAGUGAUGAUG